rnacentral:rRNA from 2 species
UUUAACGAGAGUUUGAUCCUGGCUCAGGAUGAACGCUGGCGGCGUGCUUAACACAUGCAAGUCGAGCGAAGCACUUUACUUGGAUUUCUUCGGAAUGACGAGUAUUGUGACUGAGCGGCGGACGGGUGAGUAACGCGUGGGUAACCUGCCUCAUACAGGGGGAUAACAGUUAGAAAUGACUGCUAAUACCGCAUAAGACCACAGCACCGCAUGGUGCAGGGGUAAAAACUCCGGUGGUAUGAGAUGGACCCGCGUCUGAUUAGCUGGUUGGUGGGGUAACGGCCUACCAAGGCAACGAUCAGUAGCCGGCCUGAGAGGGCGACCGGCCACAUUGGGACUGAGACACGGCCCAAACUCCUACGGGAGGCAGCAGUGGGGAAUAUUGCACAAUGGGGGAAACCCUGAUGCAGCGACGCCGCGU